rnacentral:tRNA from 1 species
AAAUAUAGUUUAACAAAAACACUAGAUUGUGAAUCUAGAGUCAGAAAAUAAAACUUUCUUAUUUACC